AUUAUGUUUAAAACCAAAUUUAGAAUUUUCUAGAAAAUUUAGGGUAAUUUUUAGUUUUUUCUGAUGUUUAAAAUUUUAAUGAAUUUUAAAUUAAUUUUGGGAAUAAACAAAUUCCAAAGAAAGAAGUACGAUUGCAGCAAGGUUUAGACAAUUUUUCUUUUUUGUAAUUUUCUUUAAAAACGAAAAUUAAGAAUAAAGUGAAUAAAAUAGUCGAUAAAUAGGGAAAAUUUAGAAAAUUUGUUGAAUUGUUUUAGAAAAUCGGAAAAGCAAAUUUAGAAAAAGAAUAAGAGAAAUAGAGAAAAGGAGAAAAGGUGAGGAAGGAAAGAGAAGAUAGAGCCUCUUCGGAAGAAGAACUUUGCUGGCGCAUAUGGUAGGGAAGGAGAAGGAUAUUGUCCAAGAAAUCCAUCACCCAUGGUGAAGUCAACUUGACGAAGAAGCAUGCUUUUGUCCACCUUCUCCAACUUCACAAUAUUAGUUAAUUUACGAGGUAUGAAUUUUAUUUUUGAUCCAGCACAGUCAAACGAAUAAGUAUUUUUAUAUUUGUCAUGCCAUUUUAUGAUCAUACAUGAUACAUCCAUGGCCUUCUAAGUAGUAUAUGUGCGACUUUCAUAGUUAGAACAUCACACGAGACUUGUUGAAUUAACUUACCAAUUGAAUAUAUAACUAGGCACUAUUCUAGUGACUUUCAAAUUUUGGUUAUUCACCCAUGCUAAUUUGUAAGGCUCUGGUUGCGGUGUGGUCUUCGGUCUCAAUUUGUCAACGGCUUCUUCAGAAAUAAUGUUGGCGCAGCUUCCCGAAUAUAUAAUCAUUGAACAAACUUGUCCAUUAUAAAGAACUCGAAUUGAAAGAUAGUAUGGCGUUUCAACUCUUUAUCGUCUUUCGUCACGUGAGUUGAGAGCAUAGGCUUAAUAACUCCACAAUGUUCAAGACUUUCAUCAUAUUCGAGCUCGUGCACUUCAAUAUUAUCAUCAUCAUCUUAUAGUAUGACGUAUAAUUUUUCAAAAUCAUCGUCAUGUGCUUGAGCCGUUGCUAAGUUAUGCUGUUAGACACUGGUGAGCAUAAUGCCCAGUCUUGUCGCACUUCAAACACCUACCUUUUUUCUUUGAUGCCUUUGAAGUUGAUGCCUUAGAGGACGCCUGAGAAGUUGAUACUGGUUCAUCUUUUUGGACAAGGUGUAGUGAUGCUCGAACCAUGACUCACGAUUACGUAGAAAGUUGCGCCACGUCGAUGAAACACGUGCUUUUUUCUCCUCCACAAUCCGAUGUGCGACUUGAACUACAUCAGCAGGAGAGGAACUGACUGGAUGCUAACUUUUUAGCUACAUUGGAAUGGAGGCCUUGUCGAUACAUGGUAAUCAGCAAAUCCUCACUCCAUGGAAUUCUUGAUCGUGUUGCUAGGUAGUAGAAGCGCAAAGUGUACUCCGCGACUGUUAUGCUACCUUGAGUUAACCGAGUAUGUUGGUAUUGAAUGCGCUAUCUAUAAUCAAUUGGUACGAAUUGACGUUUCAUAGCUCUUUUCAUAUCCUUCCACGUACGGAUAGCCAGAUAAUGAUGUUGUUGCUCGUGUCCACAAAUACUUGAUAUACAACGGAGUAUUGACUCUACAAUCAUAAUUUUUGAUUUUCCGUAGGCUGGUACUAGCAAACAUAUGCCUCUAGGCUAUGAAACUCCUAGACAUGAAACUUAACACCUUUUAAUUUUUUGUAGCUUUGGUAUGAGAUGUAGUAGUUUGAGUUUGCAGUAGGGUAUUUUUGAAUAUAUUGAGGUAUAACAGGAGAUAAUGUUGGGACGAAAUGUCACGCCCCGAGGUCCUUUUUUGGAUUUAAAAGUUGAUGCUGCCCAAAUUUUUUUUUUGAAACCUUGACCCCAGAGUAUGUCAGAUCCGCCACAAAUACAGAAAAUUCACUGUCCACACGAAUAGUCUCCCCUGUAUUUGCACGGCGUCGCAUAAGUACAAGAUACAACCACAAACAUUCACCAUUCACAUUCACAUUCGUUUCAUCACAGAUAUGUAUAAAUCAACAUCUAUUAGUUUAAAAUGUUUCCUAUCCGGAAACUCAUUUUAAAACACUAAGAGUCGUGAAAAUCAAUAAAACGUUUUCAAAACCGUUUCCCACACGGAAACCUUUUUCUUUAAAACACGCUACCACGAGGGGUAGAAAACCAUUUUUAUCUCAUGAGAAAACUAUAAGUUCUUUAUUACAUUCACAAAAAACUCAUUUAUCCAAUUUAAGCAAACCUAUGAACCAUAAAUACUAAGUCAAUUAUUAAAAAGACAGGUUUGAGGAUUUUAACCAAAACGGCGGGCCGAUAGCUCUAUCGCUCGCUAAGAUGCGCACCUCACGUACCGUCCCGACUCGGAUCCGUGACGUCACCUGAAAGGGGGUGGGGGGAGAGAACAUGUACACAUAUUUCCGUUCCCAGUGGGUACCGCAAGCCGACCAGGGCGAGGGGUACUCACUAGUCAAGGGAUAAACAAAGGUAUAGGUAAUGGUAAUACAGUAGCAAUAAUAAACAAAAAAGGAGAUGUAUAUAUAUAAAUCACUACCGCUACUGUAUACAUGCAUCAACCGGACCGCAAAUCCAAAAGUACCCAAUCAUAAACCUGUCAUAUCGGUCCGUAGACCUUAGGCCUGUGCCACAACUGCUCUAACCUGUAUAUGACCCUAGCAUAAGAUCCUGGGUCUGAAAAGCAAAUGACCCUAGCAUAAAGCUCCUGGGCCUGAAAGCAUAUAACCCUAGAAUAAAGCUCCUAGGCUCACGGGCUAGCACUUUUUCGGAA
rnacentral:lncRNA from 1 species